rnacentral:rRNA from 1 species
AUUGAACGCUGGCGGCAUGCCUAACACAUGCAAGUCGAACGGCAGCACGGGGGCUUGCCCCUGGUGGCGAGUGGCGCGCGGGUGUGAAAUACAUCGGUAUAUGUCCUGUAGGGGGGUAAAGUCCGGCGAAAGGCGGUAUUAUACCACAUGCGAUCUACGGGAAAGAGCGGGGGCUUUUGGGGUCACGCGCUCUGGGGUUGGUCGAUGGCGGAUUAGCUAGUUGGUGGGGUAAAGGCCUACCAAGGCGACGAUCAGUAUCUGGUCUGAGAGGACGAACAGCCACACUGGAACUGAGACACGGCCCAGACUCCUACGGGAGGCAGCAGUGGGGAAUUUUGGACAAUGGGCGAAAGCCUGAUCCAGCAAUGCCGCGUGUGUGAAGAAGGUCUUCGGAUUGUAAAGCACUUUUGUUCGGGAAGAAGUCCUUUGCUCUAAUACAGUCGGGUGUUGACGGUACCGAAAGAAUAAGCACCGGCUAACUACGUG